rnacentral:rRNA from 1 species
GCGAACCGGGAGAACUGAAACAUCUAAGUACCCCGAGGAAAAGAAAUCAACCGAGAUUUUGUGAGUAGCGGCGAGCGAAAGCGAAAGAGCCUGUUAGUGAUAGCGAUAGAGACAGAGGAACAAGCUGGGAAGCUUGGCGAUACAGGGUGAUAGCCCCGUACUCGAAGUCCAGGUCGUGGUACUAAGCUAACGAAAAGUAGGGCGGGACACGUGAUAUCCUGUUUGAAGAUGGGGGGACCAUCCUCCAAGGCUAAAUACUCCUGAUUGACCGAUAGUGAACCAGUACUGUGAAGGAAAGGCGAAAAGAACCCCGGUGAGGGGAGUGAAAUAGAACCUGAAACCUUGUACGUACAAGCAGUGGGAGCCCGCAAGGGUGACUGCGUACCUUUUGUAUAAUGGGUCAGCGACUUAUAUUUUGUAGCGAGGUUAACCGAAUAGGGGAGCCGAAGGGAAACCGAGUCUUAACUGGGCGUUGAGUUGCAAGGUAUAGACCCGAAACCCGGUGAUCUAGCCAUGGGCAGGUUGAAGGUUGGGUAACACUAACUGGAGGACCGAACCGACUAAUGUUGAAAAAUUAGCGGAUGACUUGUGGCUGGGGGUGAAAGGCCAAUCAAACCGGGAGAUAGCUGGUUCUCCCCGAAAUCUAUUUAGGUAGAGCCUUGAGCGGACACCUUCGGGGGUAGAGCACUGUUUCGGCUAGGGGUCCAUCCCGGAUUACCAACCCGAUGCAAACUACGAAUACCGAAGAGUGAUACUCAGGAGACACACGGCGGGUGCUAACGUCCGUCGUGGAGAGGGAAACAACCCAGACCGCCAGCUAAGGUCCCAAAGUCUAUAUUAAGUGGGAAACGAAGUGGGAAGGCUUAGACAGCUAGGAUGUUGGCUUAGAAGCAGCCAUCAUUUAAAGAAAGCGUAAUAGCUCACUAGUCGAGUCGGCCUGCGCGGAAGAUGUAACGGGGCUCAAAUAUAGCACCGAAGCUGCGGCAUCAGACGUAAGUCUGUUGGGUAGGGGAGCGUUGUGUAAGCGGAUGAAGAUGGUUCGAGAGGGCUGUUGGACGUAUCACAAGUGCGAAUGCUGACAUAAGUAACGAUAAAACGGGUGAAAAACCCGUUCGCCGGAAGACCAAGGGUUCCUGUCCAACGUUAAUCGGGGCAGGGUGAGUCGGCCCCUAAGGCGAGGCUGAAAAGCGUAGUCGAUGGGAAACGGGUUAAUAUUCCCGUACUUGGUAAAGCUGCGAUGUGGGGACGGAGCAGGUUAGGUUAGCGUACUGUUGGAUAUGUACGUUUAAGUUGGUAGGUGGGAAGUUUAGGCAAAUCCGGACUUCCUUAACACUGAGAGAUGAUGACGAGGCUCUACGGAGCUGAAGUAACUGAUACCACACUUCCAGGAAAAGCCACUAAGCGAAAGGCUUUACUAAACCGUACUGAAAACCGACACAGGUGGUCAGGUAGAGAAUACUCAGGCGCUUGAGAGAACUCGGGUGAAGGAACUAGGCAAAAUAGCACCGUAACUUCGGGAGAAGGUGCGCCGGCGUAGAUUGUAGUCCCUUGCGGAUGAAGGUUGAACCGGUCGAAGAUACCAGCUGGCUGCAACUGUUUAUUAAAAACACAGCACUCUGCAAACACGAAAGUGGACGUAUAGGGUGUGAUGCCUGCCCGGUGCUGGAAGGUUAAUUGAUGGUGUAAUCGAAAGAGAAGCUCCUGAUCGAAGCCCCAGUAAACGGCGGCCGUAACUAUAACGGUCCUAAGGUAGCGAAAUUCCUUGUCGGGUAAGUUCCGACCUGCACGAAUGGCAUAAUGAUGGCCAGGCUGUCUCCACCCGAGACUCAGUGAAAUUGAAAUCGCCGUGAAGAUGCGGUGUACCCGCGGCUAGACGGAAAGACCCCGUGAACCUUUACUAUAGCUUGACACUGAACAUUGAAUUUUGAUGUGUAGGAUAGGUGGGAGACUUUGAAGUAGUCACGCCAGUGAUUAUGGAGUCGUCCUUGAAAUACCACCCUUUAACGUUUGAUGUUCUAACGAAGAUUGCGAAACGCGGUCUCGGACAGUGUCUGGUGGGUAGUUUGACUGGGGCGGUCUCCUCCCAAAGCGUAACGGAGGAGCACGAAGGUUUGCUAAUCACGGUCGGACAUCGUGAGGUUAGUGCAAUGGUAUAAGCAAGCUUAACUGCGAGACAGACAAGUCGAGCAGGUACGAAAGUAGGUCAUAGUGAUCCGGUGGUUCUGAAUGGAAGGGCCAUCGCUCAACGGAUAAAAGGUACUCCGGGGAUAACAGGCUGA